UGAGGAAUAUUGGUCAAUGGGCGAGAGCCUGAACCAGCCAAGUAGCGUGAAGGAUGACUGCCCUAUGGGUUGUAAACUUCUUUUAUAAAGGAAUAAAGUCGGGUAUGGAUACCCGUUUGCAUGUACUUUAUGAAUAAGGAUCGGCUAACUCCGUGCCAGCAGCCGCGGUAAUACGGAGGAUCCGAGCGUUAUCCGGAUUUAUUGGGUUUAAAGGGAGCGUAGAUGGAUGUUUAAGUCAGUUGUGAAAGUUUGCGGCUCAACCGUAAAAUUGCAGUUGAUACUGGAUAUCUUGAGUGCAGUUGAGGCAGGCGGAAUUCGUGGUGUAGCGGUGAAAUGCUUAGAUAUCACGAAGAACCCCGAUUGCGAAGGCAGCCUGCUAAGCUGUAACUGACGUUGAGGCUCGAAAGUGUGGGUAUCAAACAGGAUUAGAUACCCUGGUAGUCCACACGGUAAACGAUGGAUACUCGCUGUUGGCGGUAUACUGUCAGCGGCCAAGCGAAAGCAUUAAGUAUCCCACCUGGGGAGUACGCCGGCAACGGUGAAACUCAAAGGAAUUGACGGGGGCCCGCACAAGCGGAGGAACAUGUGGUUUAAUUCGAUGAUACGCGAGGAACCUUACCCGGGCUUAAAUUGCAGACGAAUUACCUGGAAACAGGUAAGCCGCAAGGCUGUUGUGAAGGUGCUGCAUGGUUGUCGUCAGCUCGUGCCGUGAGGUGUCGGCUUAAGUGCCAUAACGAGCGCAACCCUUAUCUUUAGUUACUAACAGGUCAUGCUGAGGACUCUAGAGAGACUGCCGUCGUAAGAUGUGAGGAAGGUGGGGAUGACGUCAAAUCAGCACGGCCCUUACGUCCGGGGCUACACACGUGUUACAAUGGGGGGUACAGAAGGCGGCUACCUGGUGACAGGAUGCUAAUCCCAAAAACCUCUCUCAGUUCGGAUCGAAGUCUGCAACCCGACUUCGUGAAGCUGGAUUCGCUAGUAAUCGCGCAUCAGCCAUGGCGCGGUGAAUACGUUCCC
rnacentral:rRNA from 1 species